AUUCCUGACUCUACGUCUCCUGAUGGACAC
rnacentral:sRNA from 1 species